CAUAUAUGAUUAUGAAGCAAUUUGCAUUAAAUUUACACCUUUUCAAAUUUUGAAAAUUGCUUUGUUGAGAGAGAAUCGCGGCACGUUCUCAAUAGCAGGCUGAUUAAUCACAGUUCUAUGGAGGAGACAUAACAUUUUUAUUAAACUCUCAGUGAGCAGGAAAAUGAACACCUCCUGCAAUAGCCAUACUAAUGUCAUUAGUGAACAUUUUCAUUUCCAAGAGGCCUCUCCCUCAUCCCGAACCUUCCAUCCUUCCCACAUUGACCACAGCGUCUCCUCUUGAGCAGGUGAGAAACUGUAUUCAUAAUGUCAUGAAGCCUAUCCAUAGACUCCUGCCGCUAGCCUGAUCCAUCUAGGUCUUUAAUGUCCAUCUCUUCCUCUUGUCACUUGAGGCUCUCUAUGCUACGUCUCUGAAUUUCAUUUGUGGUCAGGGAGGGUUUCCAUCCUGAAGAGCCAGUGACUGACAGGUUCACACACCCCCAUUACCCUCCCCCCAAAUGCCCAAGUGGAUAGAAGAAUGAGGAGAAAACCUAUGAUUCGUUGAUUGAUGCCCAAGCAGUUUCUGUAGUGGAGGCUUCUGGUAAGGACAGAGCACACAAGCGACCAGGAGGGGCUUGUGGACCUGGUCAGCUAUAUAGCGAUUCAAAGAUACAGGUCGUGGCACAGAUGGUGAAGUAGUUUGGUGCAGGCAUGAGGGUACUGAGUUCAGAUUCCCGGCACUCACCUGAAAAGCCAGGUGUGGUGGUGGACACUUGUGAUCCCAGGGCUAGAGAGGCAGAGACAGACAGAAGGGUCCCUCGGGUUUACUGGCCAGCCAGUCUAGCUCAAUGGCCAACUGCAGCUUCUGCAAGAGACCCUGCCUCAAAAAUAGGUGGAGAACAAUUGGGGGAGACACCUGAUGGAGGCCUCUGGCCUUGAUAUACAUACUGUACCCUUUGCUCACUCGUUGCUGGUAUUACCUUUUAGUGUACCUUGUUUGGAUGCAAAUCAUUUAACUUCAUUAAUAACUUCCCUGGCGAUGGUUGUAAUCUACUAUGUUGAGCUGUAGAUAGCACCGGUGCCUCUCUUUGAAUUCCAGGUGUCCCGAAAAGUGCAUCCUACUGUUAAAACCAUGCCCAAACUCAUCAGUCUGAAGGCCCUGCAAAGCAAAGCUAAUGUCAAUAAUAAACUAGUCCACAAACACCAGAACGGGAACAUAUUCAAUAGUCUAGCAAUUACAAGAGUGGAAGAGGUGUGGAGAGUCAGGCAUCUUCCACUGUAAGGGAGAGGUUGUCAGCAAGUGUUGCCAUUGUGGAAAAUCGUUGGUGUUAGCUAAUGAAGUAGGUAAUAAGCGACAGAUAAUGCGGUCAGUGGAAUAGAUUAAGAUUAUGGAUGCUGUAGCGAAGUAUUUGAAAUGGCAAGAAAAUCAAAACUCCUCAGUGUCCACCCUCAGUAAAACGGGGGAAACGGCGUUGGCAUACAUAUCCUCCAGGUACAGCAGUAGACAGCUCUGAGACUGAAUGAAUUUCUAUAGCCGGAAUCAACACAGACAGAUCUUUUAAACACAUCCUACAACAUACGAGAAAGACAAGUUACAUGGGAUAAUUAAUACGGCGUGGUUUGGUUUACCAAGGUUGUAGAAGCUUUAGGCAAUAGACGCUGGCCCUAUUCUUGCUCUAUGACCAGAUAGCCUCAUGCUCCCUCUGCCACACUUGCCCCACCACGAGGGAAGUGUCCCCUUGGCAUCCUAGCGAAAAUAAGCCCUCCUUCCCUUAAGUUGUAUUUACCAGGUAUUUUGUUACAGCAAAGUACAGCUGCCCAUUUCCUGCCCAGCCCUGGGCACAGAGCUGUAGGUGGCAGCCCUGCCUCUCUAAGGUUCAUCCCUAGGUCACCAAGAAGGCCAGGAAACAGUGGGAUUCUAAACCGAUGGCACAAACACCCAGUGGUCUUCUUAUGCUACCACGUCCUCAGGUCCUGAGGUUUGGGGCCUUGCUUGGUGCCAAGGUUUUGUGCUUCCGGUUGCUCUCCCUAAGCCGUGCAUCUGCCUACUGUGUGUUGGGGACUGUCGCAGACCUUGAUGGGGUUCUGGAACCCAAACACCCCUAAGGCCUUCAUCUGAUCAUUUUAUUUGAUGAUUUUUAAUAGUAAAAAGAAAAAAAAAUUCAUUGACUCAAACUACAGUAAUUCUAUUUACUUUGCAGCCAAACCCGGUGAAGUUAUCAGACGGUGGUGGCUCCCUCGCCUCACAGAUAGAAAAUGCCUAGAUAAAUACAGUGGAGGACAUUUUUAAACAUGUAAAAAAAAAAUCAAUUUUCAUAAGGUUACAUCUUUUUACCUCUUUAUAUAAAACAUGCUGUAUUAAAAGAGAGAUUAAAUUUUACUCUGCGGACUAAAAUGCAAACACAAAAUUAUUUUUUCAUUUUUCAGAGCAUGCACUGGAUUAUCAUUUAUUUAUGAGGCUUUUUUUAAUCUAGAAUAUAUGGAAAUCUUUUUCUUGAAGCACAAUAUAAUAUUGAAUUGGGAAUGCUGGCUGACAGUUCCCCUCUCACGGUUGCGGAGAAUGAUUCUCCGGUAUGAAUUUUUAAAAGAAACUUCAAUGCCCUCUGCCUCUGUGAGGGAAAAUGUGUGACGUCGUCCCGAGACACCUUUGCAAGGCUCCCUCCCAGUUUCGAGUCCGUCCAACUUUUCCGCCGGAGGUGAUGCCUCCUCUGUUUGUCCAAAGUCACAAAAAACCACCCACUUGGCUUUCCCUGGUUCAAAGGUUCCCCUUGGCGGGCCGGUGAGAUGGAUCACUAGGGAAAGGGGCUUGCCGCCAAGCUUGAGGCCUGGAGUUUGAUUCCAGGGUCAACACGAGGAAGGAGAGAUCUGACUCCUGCAAGCUCUACUUCAACCUCUGCCAUGUGCACCAUGACACACAUGUGCACCCACACCCACACACCCCAACACACACACCCACACAUACAUGAAUAUAAUUUUUAAAAGAUGGGGUUAAAAGGUAAACUUGGCAAAGAACUUCCUGCCCCAGAAGACCUUUCUCUGCCAUGCAGUAACGGAUGCGCCUUUGUGUCUGUUUCCUUUGUACAUAUUUUUCUGAUUCGGAGGCACCGGCCGCCGAAGGGUGCUAGUGGACUUUCUUCUAGUGUGUUCUGAGGCAAGUGUCCAUCUCAGAACUUCCAAACAUCAGUGAUGAAGUGUCAUAAUGGUGAGAGCUGGGGGCACACGUAUCUACCUGUGUGUGCACACUUGCCUGUGUGGGGGUGGUAGGCCUUUCCAUGUGCACGUGGAGGCCAGAAGUCCACCUUGGGUGUUACUCCACAAGUGCUGUCUCUCUUGCUUAUUGAAAACAGAGUCUCCAUGGCCUACAGCUUCCCAAAUAGGCCAGGCUAGCAGGCCGGCAAGGCUAGCGGGCCAGCCAGGCUUAGAGAACAGCAUCUUCCCACUGCUCGGUGCUAUGGUUAUAAGUACUUACCACCACACUCUCCUUCUUUGACAUGGGUUCUGUAGAGAGAACCCAGGCCCGUGCUUUCACCACAAUCAUUUUACUGGCUGAGACAUCUCUCCAGCCUCUGAUAACGUCUCACUCCCACACAAGGUAAUGUGCACCAAUUACCAUGUUGUUGAUGCCUUUUUGUGUAAUUAGAAAUAAUCUUAUACCAUUAGCUUACUCUACUCACAUUCAAUUUUAUAUUUAUGUACUAUAAAUAUGUAUGAAUAACAAGCUAAACGCAACAUGUAUAUAUAGUACAUCGAUACAUAUUCCAAAUUUACAGAGGCAGAAAGACUCAAACAUACAGAAAGGCAGUUGGGCAAUUGUUAUAAAUGGGAUGAAAGAAAUUCAUCCAGACUCCCACUGAAAGACAAGAAAUGAGACUAUGACCUUGUAUGGCACCUGUGUACUUCCCUGGCCCUUGAUAAUGCUUUGUGAGCAGGGGUGAAGGUGACAGUUGGUACAGUUGGUACAGGCUGGUUUGCCUUCGUUUUCAUAGCAUCAGCCACUCCACCGGGGGGUCCUUUAGAAACAGAUCAGCAUGAUGCAUAAACAAAUGACAAUGAACACAGCCAUGCUGGUGGCACCUGGGUCUGUGUACUUGAGGGGGACUGAGCCAUAUCUUCCUGGAAGGACAGCCACAAUGUGUCUGGGAGCCCUGUGACAGCUCUAGUUAGCCUUACAAUUCCUUGUGAGCUGUCUUCUUUUCCAGAGACCCCACUGCCACCACAAGAGAUGGAAUAAUAUAAUAAUAAAUAAUAUUAUAUCAUGCCCAUUCGUAUGUCCUGGCCCUUCAUGGAUUUCUACCCAGGGGGUUCUGGUUGGUUUCCCCUCUGCCCUAUCAUAUCAUAUCUCCCAUUUGCAGUCUUGUGUGGGUUUUCUUUUUCUAGUUUCUUGGAUGUGUUUAAAACUUAUAUAACUUGGAGUGCGGCUUUAUCAGUGUGAAUGAGAAUGGCCCCAUAUGCUCAUAUGUUCGCAUGCUUGAUCCCCAGUUGAUGGUUAGGAGGGAUGGCCUUGUUAGAGGAGGUAUGGUACUAGAAAUGGGCUUGGAGUUUUCAAUGGCCCCUUGCCAGGCUCAGCGUCUCUCCUGCCUGCUAGCCAAAUGGGAUGUAGCUCUCAGUUACAUCUCCAGCACUAUGCUUGCUUGACUGCAGCCUUGCUCCCCACCACGAUGAUAAGAGGCUACACUCUGAAACUAUAAGCAAGCCUCAGUUAAAGUCUUCUGUUGUAUUAAAGAUGCCUUGGUCUUGGUCUCCACAGCAACGGAACAGUCAGCAAAAGCAAAAUGCUUGCUCUCCAGGCACGAGGGCCUGAGUUUGAUUCUGAGGACCCACAUAAAAUGCCAAGUGUGGUGGUCACACAGAACGUCACUCUGUUAGAAUGGUUAAAGGGGACAGGAGCUCAGAGGUCACCUUUAUCUCCAGCUGGGACAGAUAGAGGCAGGGGUUGGGAAAUAACGACCGUCCAACCUUCUCAGUGUUGGUAUACAAAUGACAUCUACCUUGCAAGGUAGCUUCAGAACUGAGGUAAAGGGGCUUCAUCUUCAUGUCUGACAUAGGGAUUCCUGGAACAUGGGAAGACUUGAGAGAAACAAACGCUUCUUUCCUGUUAGAAAUGAAGUUGCUGGAAAGAGUCUCUGCAGCCAAGAGGAGGGGUCACCAUUUCAUUCUCUCU
rnacentral:lncRNA from 1 species